UACGUAGGGUGCAAGCGUUGUCCGGAAUUAUUGGGCGUAAAGAGCUCGUAGGCGGUCAGUCGCGUCUGCUGUGAAAACUCGGGGCUUAACUCCGGGCCUGCAGUGGGUACGGGCUGACUAGAGUGCGGUAGGGGAGACUGGAAUUCCUGGUGUAGCGGUGAAAUGCGCAGAUAUCAGGAGGAACACCCGUAGCGAAGGCGGCACUCUGGGCCGGUACUGACGCUGAGGAGCGAAAGCGUGGGGAGCAAACAGG
rnacentral:rRNA from 1 species